rnacentral:rRNA from 1 species
GACGAACGCUGGCGGCGUGCCUAACACAUGCAAGUCGAGCGAAUGAAGUUCCUUCGGGAAUGGAUUUAGCGGCGGACGGGUGAGUAACACGUGGGCAACCUGCCUCAUAGAGGGGAAUAGCCUUCCGAAAGGGAGAUUAAUACCGCAUAAGAUUGUAGUACCGCAUGGUACAGCAAUUAAAGGAGCAAUCCGCUAUGAGAUGGGCCCGCGGCGCAUUAGCUAGUUGGUGAGGUAACGGCUCACCAAGGCGACGAUGCGUAGCCGACCUGAGAGGGUGAUCGGCAGCAGUGGGACUGAGGCACGGCGCGGACUCCUACGAGAGGCAGCAGUGGGGAAUAUUGCACGAUGGGGGAAACCCUGAUGCAGCAACGCCGCGUGAGUGAUGACGGCCUUCGGGUUGUAAAGCUCUGUCUUCAGGGACGAUAAUGACGGUACCUGAGGAGGAAGCCACGGCUAACUACGUGCCAGCCGCCGCGGUAA